GACGAACCGUGCGAACGUUAUUCGGAAUCACUGGGCUUAAAGGGCGCGUAGGCGGGUUGCCAAGUCUGUGGUGAAAUCCUCCAGCUUAACUGGAGAACGGCCGUGGAUACUGGCGACCUCGAGGGGGGUAGGGGCUUGCGGAACUGCGCGUGGAGCGGUGAAAUGCGUUGAUAUGCACAGGAACUCCGGUGGCGAAGGCGGCGAGCUGGACCCUUUCUGACGCUGAGGCGCGAAAGCCAGGGGAGCGAACGGG
rnacentral:rRNA from 1 species